UUGCAUGUGUAGAAUAUUUUCAAUUAAAUAAACAGAAAUGUGUUUUUCAAAAGGCAGUGACAUCUAAGCAAGUGGGAAGGAAACAGACACCUGGCCAUGGUAACUAUCUAAACACCUGCCCUCUGCCGCUAAAGGGCAUCUUUUUCUGCCAGAAUCUGCUGUGUAUCGUGGAGGAGAAGAUUUGCCAGAGUGUAAAUGGGCCCUUGGUUCUGAAGGAAAUGAAAUAUACUGUCUCAGAUUUCUUGCUUCGGGAACAAGAGCUUUAAUUGCUGAGCCAUCUCUUCAGCCCAAGAAAGAAAUCAGAUGUGGUAGUUAUGAAAAUAGCUUUUCGGAUUUCCUGCUAAGAUGAUGAGAAAUACCAACAUUGGAAAACAGCAAACUCCCAUCAUACCAGCACACCAGGGGCUGUCAAGGCUGCUGACAAAUACUGACUUGACAACAAAUUUUAAGAAUGACUUCUGUGCAAGAAAAUGCAGAGUGUCUUAAAAUCUUGCACCUUAUAAUAAAGCAAAUAUGGUACCAGUUUUUCCCCAAAUCUGACAUGACACUGCUGAUGAAGAAUUAUGACUGAAGUUUACUGAACUAUUAAUAAAGAACCCAAGCAAAUAAAGGAGAGGGA